GAUGAACGCUGGCGGCGUGCUUAACACAUGCAAGUCGAACGGAAAGGCCAGUGCUUGCACUGGUGCUCGAGUGGCGAACGGGUGAGUAACACGUGGGUGAUCUGCCCUGCACUUUGGGAUAAGCCUGGGAAACUGGGUCUAAUACCAGAUAGGACCAUGCUUUGGAUGGUGUGGUGGAAAGUUUUUUCGGUUUGGGAUGGGCUUGCGGCCUAUCAGCUUGUUGGGGGGGUAAUGGCCUACCAAGGCGUCGCCGGGUAGCCGGCCUGGGAGGGGGUCCGGCCCCAUUGGGACGGGAAUCGGGCCCGGCUCCCACGGGGAGGCAGCGGUGGGGAAAUUUGAACAAUGGGGCGAGCCCUGAGCAACCAAGCCGGGGUGGGGAUGACGGCCUUCGGGUUGUAAACUCCUUUCGCAACUGACGAAGCUUUUUGUGACGGUAGGUUGAGAAGAAGCACCGGCUAACUACGUG
rnacentral:rRNA from 1 species